rnacentral:rRNA from 1 species
GAUGAACGCUAGCGGCAGGCUUAAUACAUGCAAGUCGUGGGGCAGCAUGAAUGUAGCAAUACAUUUGAUGGCGACCGGCAAACGGGUGCGGAACACGUACACAACCUUCCGAUAAGUGGGGAAUAGCCCAAAGAAAUUUGGAUUAAUACCCCGUAACAUAUAGAGGUGGCAUCAUCUUUAUAUUAUAGCUACGGCGCUUAUUGAUGGGUGUGCGGCUGAUUAGAUAGUUGGCGGGGUAACGGCCCACCAAGUCUACGAUCAGUAGCUGAUGUGAGAGCAUGAUCAGCCACACGGGCACUGAGACACGGGCCCGACUCCUACGGGAGGCAGCAGUAAGGAAUAUUGGUCAAUGGACGCAAGUCUGAACCAGCCAUGCCGCGUGAAGGAUUAAGGUCCUCUGGAUUGUAAACUUCUUUUAUCUGGGACGAAAAAAGGCGAUUCUUCGUCACUUGACGGUACCAGAUGAAUAAGCACCGGCUAACUCCGUGCCAGCAGCCGCGGUAAUAC